rnacentral:rRNA from 1 species
AUACAUAGCUUAAUGAGGGGAACUCAGGGAACUGAAACAUCUAAGUACCUGAAGGAAGAGAAAGAAAUUCGAUUCCGUAAGUAGCGGCGAGCGAACGCGGAUUAGCCCAAACCAAUAAAGUUUUCUUUAUUGGGGUUGCGGACAUAUCAUAACGAAGAGGUAUCGUAAUUGAAGAGGUUUGGAAAGACCCACCACAGAAGGUAGUAGUCCUGUAUGUUAAACGAGAAGACUUUAGAUAUGAUCCAGAGUACCACGGGACACGUGAAACCCUGUGGGAAGCAGGAGGGACCACCCUCCAAGGCUAAAUACUACCUAGUGACCGAUAGCGUAUAGUACCGUGAGGGAAAGGUGAAAAGAACCCCGGGAGGGGAGUGAAAUAGAACCUGAAACCCUGCACUUACAAGCUGUGGAAGCACAUUUCUUGUGUGACCGCGUACUUUUUGUAGAACGGGCCAACGAGUUACGUUAAGUAGCAAGGUUAAGCACUUAAGGUGCGGAGCCGUAGCGAAAGCGAGUUUUAACUGAGCGUUCAGUUACUUGACGUAGACCCGAAACCGGGCGACCUCCCCAUGAGCAGGAUGAAGCGAAAGGAAAAUUUCGUGGAGGUCCGAACCCACGAGCGUUGAAAAGCUCGGGGAUGACUUGUGGGUAGCGGUGAAAUUCCAAUCGAGCCCGGAGAUAGCUGGUUCUCCCCGAAAUAGCUUUAGGGCUAGCCUCAAGGUGAGAGAUACGGAGGUAGAGCACUGAAUGUCCUAGGGGGUAUUGCACCUACCGAAGACUAUCAAACUCCGAAUGCCGUCAUCUUAUACUUGGGAGUCAGACUGUGGGUGAUAAGAUUCAUAGUCGAAAGGGCAACAGCCCAGAUCGUCAGCUAAGGUCCCUAAAUGUAAGUUAAGUGGUAAAGGAUGUGGGAUUGCACAGACAACCAGGAUGUUGGCUUAGAAGCAGCCACUCAUUCAAAGAGUGCGUAAUAGCUCACUGGUCGAGUGAUCCUGCGCCGAAGAUUUCCGGGGCUAAAACUUACUACCGAAGCUACGGCAUCAGUAAUGAUGGGUAGGGGAGCUUCCCAUACGGGUUGAAGCAUGACCGUAAGGACAUGUGGACAGUAUGGGAGUGAGAAUGUUGGCAUGAGUAGCGAGAUGUGGGUGAGAAUCCCACAGGCCGUAAACCCAAGGUUUCCAGGGGAAGGUUCGUCCGCCCUGGGUUAGUCGGGACCUAAGCUGAGGCCGAAAGGCGUAGGUGAUGGACAACAGGUUGAUAUUCCUGUACUACCGAUAACCGUUUGAGAGAAGGGAUGACACAGUAGGAUAAGCUAAGCACACUGUUGGUUAUGUGUGCCCAAGCAUUGAGGCAGUCAAAGUAGGCAAAUCCGCUUUGAUAAUGCUGGGAUGUGAUGGGGAGCGAAAUUUAGUAGCGAAGUAGCUGAUUUCACACUGUCAAGAAAAGUCUCUAUCGAGGUUAAAGGUACCCGUACCGCAAACCGACACAGGUGGGUGAGGAGAGUAUCCUAAGGCCAGCGAGAGAACUGUUGUUAAGGAACUCGGCAAAAUGACCCCGUAACUUAGGGAUAAGGGGUGCCACCAUCAGGUGGCCGCAGAGAAUAGGCCCAAGCGACUGUUUACCAAAAACAUAGGUUUCUGCUAAGUCGCAAGACGAUGUAUAGGAGCUGACGCCUGCCCGGUGCUGGAAGGUUAAGGGGAUCUGUUAGAGCAAUCGAAGCAGUGAACUUAAGCCCCAGUAAACGGCGGCCGUAACUAUAACGGUCCUAAGGUAGCGAAAUUCCUUGUCGGGUAAGUUCCGACCCGCACGAAAGGCGUAACGAUUUGGGCACUGUCUCAACAACAGACUCGGUGAAAUUGUAAUUCCGGUGAAGAUGCCGGAUACCUGCGACAGGACGGAAAGACCCCAUGGAGCUUUACUGUAGCUUGACAUUGGGUCUUGGUACUACAUGUACAGGAUAGGUGGGAGGCUUUGAAACCAGGACGCCAGUUUUGGCGGAGCCAUCCUUGGGAUACCACCCUUGUAGUACUGGGACUCUAACCAUAGGCCAUGACUCUGGUCUUGGGACACUGUCAGGUGGGCAGUUUGACUGGGGCGGUCGCCUCCCAAAAGGUAACGGAGGCGCUCAAAGGUUCUCUCAGUACGGUCGGAAAUCGUACGUAGAGUGUAAAGGCAAAAGAGAGCUUGAUUGCAAGACAUACAGGUCGAGCAAGGAUGAAAAUCGGACUUAGUGAUCCGGUGGUUCUGCGUGGAAGGGCCAUCGCUCAACGGAUAAAAGCUACCCUGGGGAUAACAGGCUUAUCUCCCCCAAGAGUCCACAUCGACGGGGAGGUUUGGCACCUCGAUGUCGGCUCAUCACAUCCUGGGGCUGUAGUAGGUCCCAAGGGUUGGGCUGUUCGCCCAUUAAAGUGGUACGCGAGCUGGGUUCAGAACGUCGUGAGACAGUUCGGUCCCUAUCCGUCGCAGGCGUAGGAAAUUUGAGAAGACCUGUCCUUAGUACGAGAGGACCGGGAUGGACGUACCUCUGGUGUACCAGUUGUUCUGCCAAGGGCAUGGC